AGUUUGACCUCAAAUCAGGUAGGACUACCCGCUGAACUUAA
rnacentral:rRNA from 1 species